ACCGUCCUCGAACUUGUCAGGUGUGAGCCCGGGUGUGGCCACCUGAACCGCGAGCCGCCUCACCUUGUCUGUUCUGCUGGACUCUGACUCUGGACAGAGCAAUUCUACUUAAGACAGCAUUUGCCAUCACAAUUAUUACAAACAAUAGGAUUCUUUCACGUGCAAGUGGCAGAAACUCAUCCCAAAGUGCUUAAGCCUCAAAGGGGACUCAGCUUAGGUCCUUUAUGAGACUAAGACCGAGGCUUCAGGAUCAAGCCAGGAUCCGACAGCUGGAUCAAGGGUACAGAUACCAGGAUUUUGUUUCUGGCUGUCUUUCACCUUUACCGCUUCCUCUACAGGGGAAGAUACCUUAGCUCUCACAGCAUCUCCAAAAGGGAUGCAGUGGCUGUUGGCACCCCCAGAUUAUAGGAUUCUUGGUGCUUGUGAUUGAUUUCAGCAGGAGAGAAGUCCCCUGUUUCUUAGUGUCUAUAUUUGUCUGUGGAAGGGGGCUGGGCCUGGGCCGGCUGGGGUCUCAUGCCCACCGCUAUACUGAGGGGUUGAAGGUCAUUCCCAUGUUGAGGAGGGCAGUUCCCAGAAGGCAAGAGAAGGGGGCCAGAGAUGCUGAGUGAACCAACUGGGUUCACUGCAGGGUGUUUGGAGACCAGCCUCCCACAGGGAACGAGUUACAGGGGCAUCUGCUGAGAGCUCGGAGACAGGGACCAGCGGAGAUGGAGGAAGAAUAUUGAAAGAAAGAAAAAAAAAGAGCCUCUAAAAACCCCACACACCAACAACCUCAGAACUCUGGCUCUGAAACUUGGAAAUGUUACCUAAAUUCUGACAAGAAAGGGCUUGUACAUCUCUUUGUGUUCAGAAUCGGCUGCUGGAGAACACAGAGCUUUCUCGAGGCUGUGCCCUGCAGAUUCAUUUCGGAUUUGACAUUUAAAAGAAUGUUCCACCCACGGCUUUUCUUUGCGAGACGAGAGUAUCUGUGAACUUAAUAUUCAGGUGGUUAAAUAGAUUGCUUGGAGAAAAUGAUCCCCUCUGAAAUGCUGUCCCCUGGCACUUUGCUUUUUGUUUUGUUUUGUUUUCUUUAGGAGAACUGUGAGGGAAAGAAAGCAAAAUGCAGAAAUCCUCUCUGACAUCCUCACUGCCCACGAUGUUCCCAGCUCAGAUGAGGCAUGGAAAGACCGAGUCUCGAAGGAUGGAUACCUUCCCCAAGGAAUGUAUCGGAGCCACCAGCGGCAGAGUUGGAAUUCGACUCCAGAACACCUGGCCCCCUCCUCCUGACCACCCCACCCGCUACCCGCCUUCAGACACCCGGGAGGCCCCUCUCCUCCCAGAAGCUGCUCUCCCUGAAUCACCGGUGAGCGGGGUUUGCCCGAAGUAAUUGAUUGAACGUUACCCAGAAGCGGAAGCCAACCAAAGAGAGACGACCGCGUGCUGUCCUUUCCAGAAAACCCAGCCCUGUCCGUCCCUGGCUCUCACUUCCCGGCACCCUCACUUGCGCAGCUCAGAAACGGUAAGCAGCAUGUUCCUCUUCCAAACAUACUUUGGCGAAAUAUGCAUGGCUCUGAAAACAAGGCCUGGCCACCUCCCGGGUGGAGCCCUGCGGAACUUGUCUCCUUGGUCUCCUAUUCUUGAUAACCUGACUCGGCCGCCUGCCCAGGUACAGAUUCCCUGCCCUGGGCGUGUGGCCGGUUCUCUGAGCUCCAUGCCUGCUGGGGACGAGGGGGGAAGAGCAUGCUGUCACCACAAGCUCAGGAGGGAAGGCACACGGUCCCCCAGGCCAGUGGCCGCGGCAGGAUGUCUUUCCCGGGUGACUCACCCAGACUCACAUGGGUCCCACGGUCCCUGGGCGCCAGCUGGGCCCAGAUGGCCAAGAGGGGAGGCAGGGUCUUUCCACAGCUUUGCUCAGGAUUGAUGCUCAAGCCCCAGCUGAGGGACAGGGCGUCCUCGUCAGAAGGCUUGGCAGAGGCUCUCUUUACAAAGGGACUUACCCACGAUUGCGGAAUGGAUGUGGCCUGACAUUAAGAUGUUUUAUGACCCUGAUUAAGCAGGAGCGGGGAGCUGGAGAGAGGUGGUGAUUAAUCCUCCCACGGAGGAGCUGGCCCCCAUCAUCCCCACUAGACAGAGAGGCUGGACAGCAGGGGAUGAUUGCCGCUCCCCAAAGAGAAGAAGCCCAGUUUCCACCCGGGGUGUGGGGGGUGAGCCUCGGGCCUGCUGGGCGGGCGCUUUGCGUGUGUUCCCGGGUGGCCCGUGUAUGGGCCCUCAGAGGGUCAGACACCUUGUGUAAGACAGAGGACGCCUGUGCCCUGGGACGGCGGUCCCUGAGGGGUCCUGGAUGCCCCCUUUGAGACAGAUGCGAGGAGGCAUCCCAGGAGGACAGAGCCCAUGACGUUCCUCAGGGUCUCUGGUGUGGGCCCCACGAGAAGGCUCUUUGACAGCCAGGCCCCGAGCAAGUCCCUGCUUCUUGCAGGAAGAGUGUUUCCUUCCUGGCCUUGUUCCCCUCUCUGCUUGGCCCAGAAAGCUCAGGACUAAAUUUGGGAGUCGUGUUGUGAGUUCUUGAAUUCCCAUAACGUACACAGGGCAUUCUGGCCCCUCCUCGCCCACCUUUCCAUCUUAGCUCCGUGCUCUGAUCGCUCAGGCAUUCGUGUUUCUGGUUUUCGUCGUAGGGCACACACCUCUGGGUACAUCUCCCAUCCUCAUGGAAUGAGGUCAAGGGUAAUAAUGGGCUUCUCUGUCUGUCUGUCCUUCCUGGCUGGGGAUGCCUCUGGUGUGCCCAUGCACGGGACUGUCCAUAUCCUCAGAGGAAACCCUCUCACCGAUCCCUCCAGAAGGAGAAAAAGAGGGGUCAGGCACUGGACAUGAAGUUACAGAGACAACCCACGUGCCCACAGGGCCUGGUAAAUGGGAUCUUUGUACACAAG